rnacentral:rRNA from 1 species
AUGUACACGAGGGAGACGGAGCUAGGGAAGGAAGGAAGGAAUCUAUGCGAUGGCGGCGCCCUUGCCGUUGUUGGCGCCGACGUGGACGUCAGCGUCUCCGAUGUACCUGCGCCAGAACCAGUGGCCCUUCCAGACGAGCACCAUCUCCUCGAUGGGCACGUUCUUGGUCUCCGGCAGGAAGAGCGCGAUGAAGACGGUCAUGAUGACCACCCAGCCGGCGAAGAAGUAGAAGAGGCCGAACUUCAUGUGGCAGAGCAUGGUGAGGAACGCCUGCGCGAUGACGAAGGUGAAGAGCAUGUUGACCGACACGUUGAUGCUCUGCCCGGCGGGCCUGAUCUCCAGCGGGAAGAUCUCGCUGGGCACCAGCCACCCCAGGGGCCCCCAGGACCACGCGAACCCGGCCACGUAGAGGCAGAUGAAGAGCACCACUGCCGCCGCGUACCCCUUGGGCAUCUCCCCCACGCCGCUCGUCCCGAACUUGACCGCGAUCAGGGUGCCCACCACCAGCUGGCUCACCAGCAUCUGCGAGCCGCCCUGCAGGAACAGCUUCCGCCGCCCCAGCCGGUCCACGGUGAAGACGGACACCAGCGUGGCGAACACGUUCACCAGGCCCGUGAUGACGGCCGACAUGAGCGACGCGUCGCCCUUGAACCCCAGCGUCUCGAACAGCACCGGCGCGUAGAACAUGAUGACGUUGAUGCCCGUCAGCUGCUGGAAGAAGGGGAUCAUGAUCGCCAUGGUCAGCUGCGGCCGGUACUUGCGCUGCAGGAUGUUGCGCCACGGGUGCUGCACCAGCUUCGACUCCUCGCUCGCCACCACCAGGUCCGCGUACUCCUCGCUGAUGUCCACGUCGCUGCCGCGGAUGCGGUUCAGCAUGCGCCGCGCCGCCUCCGGGUGCCCGCGCUCGAUGAGCGAGUUGGGGGUGUCGGGGAGGAAGAGGGAGCCGAGGGUGAUGAUGCCUGCGGGGACGGCCGCCAGGGCCAGGCUGAUGCGCCACCCGUACCCGGCCUUGAUCUUGUUGGUGCCGUAGUUGAUGAGCGCCGCCGCCAGGAUGCCGAUGGUGAUCAUCAGCUGGAACCCGAUGUUGAGCAUGCCCCGGAGACGCGCAGGCGCCAUCUCCGACAGGUACACCGGCACAGACUGCCUGAUUGGCGAAGCCAACGCCGACACCGAGAAGGAUGCGUCCGACGAUGA